rnacentral:tRNA from 1 species
GCGGACGUGGCGGAACGGCAGACGCGGCGGUCUUAAAAACCGCUGGGGGUCUCCCCCGUGCGGGUUCGAGUCCCGCCGUCCGUACCC